rnacentral:rRNA from 1 species
AACUGAGGGAAACUUCAGCUAAUACCGAAUGUGCCCGUAAGGGGAAAGAUUUAUCGCCAAUGGAUUAGCCCGCGUAGGAUUAGCUAGUUGGUGGGGUAAUGGCUCACCAAGGCUCCGAUCCUUAGCUGUUCUGAGAGGAAGAUCAGCCACACUGGGACUGAGACACGGCCCAGACUCCUACGGGAGGCAGCAGUUGGGAAUCUUGGACAAUGGGGGAAACCCUGAUCCAGCCAUGCCGCGUGAGUGAUGAAGGCCUUCGGGUUGUAAAACUCUUUCGACGGGGACGAUAAUGACGGUACCCGUAGAAGAAGCUCCGGCUAACUUCGUGCCAGCAGCCGCGGUAAUACGAAGGGGGCUAGCGUUGUUCGGAAUUACUGGGCGUAAAGCGCGCGCAGGCGGUCUUCCAAGUCAGUGGUGAAAGCCCGGAGCUCAACUCCGGAACUGCCAUUGAAACUGUUAGACUUGAGGACGAGAGAGGUGAGUGGAAUUCCCAGUGUAGAGGUGAAAUUCGUAGAUAUUGGGAAGAACACCGGUGGCGAAGGCGGCUCACUGGCUCGUAUCUGACGCUCAGGCGCGAUAGCGUGGGGAUCAAACAGGAUUAGAUACCCUGGUAGUCCACGCCGUAAACGAUG